rnacentral:rRNA from 1 species
GAUAUUAGUCAAUGGCCUAAAGGCUGAACCAGUAACUUGGAAGAAUGUAAAUGUAUUAAUUAUUAAUACAAUAACGAUUAAUUCGUAUAAAAUUCUAAAUAGAAUAAUGAUAAUGACAAUUUUCUAUUUAUAAGUCUUGACCAAAUUACGUGCCAGCAGUCGCGGUAAUACGUAAAAGACUAGUGUUAGUCAUCUUUAUUAGGUUUAAAGGGUACCUAGACGGUAAAUUUAACUCUUAUUGAGUAUCUUUUUACUAGAGUUUUAUAAGAGAAGGAAGAAUUUUUGGAGUAGUGAUAAAAUACUUUUAUACCGAAAAGACUGAUAACGGCGAAGGCAUCCUUCUAUGUAAAAACUGACGUUGAGGGACGAAGGCUUGGGUAGCAAUAAGGAUUAGAUACCCUAGUAGUCCAAGCAGAAAAUGAUGAAUGUCAUAAACUAGAUAAUCAAUUUAGUAUAUAAAUGAAAGUGUAAGCAUUCCACCUCAAGAGUAAUAUGGCAACAUAUAAACUGAAAUCAUUAGACCGUUUCUGAAACCAGUAGUGAAGCAUGUUAUUUAAU